AGUGAACGCUGGCGGCGUGCAUAAUACAUGCAAGUCGAACGAAGUGGCGCACGGGUGAGUAAUAUAUAGUUAAUCGGCCCUACACAGAGGAACAACAGUUGGAAAGGGCAGCUAAUACCGCAUAGUGUAGGAUGAGACUAUAACGUAUCAGCUAGUUGGUAAGGUAAUGGCUUACCAAGGCUAUGACGCGUAACUGGUCUGAGAGGAUGAACAGUCACAGUGGAACGUAGACCAGGUCUGAACCCCGCUGGGAGGCAGCAGUCAGGAAUAUUGCGCAAUGGGUGAAACCCUGACGCAGCAACGGCGCGUGGAGAAUGACACUUUUCGGAGCGUAAACUCCUUUUCUCAGGAAAGCGGUACCUGCUGAAUAAGCACCGGCUAACUCCGUGCCAGCAGCCGCGGUAAUAC
rnacentral:rRNA from 1 species